GUUUGUUAUCAUUCUUAUAUUUAUAAGUUUAUGUUACUAGUUUAUAUUUAGAGGUUUAGUGUUCAAACUUGUUGAAACUUGGGAGACAAAAUUAAAUCUUCCUUAAUCAAGCAUGUUUGUACAGAUGGUGACUUAGAUCUUCCUGGGAAAGUCCUGAGCUGUAAAACCUAGUAUGUGUUAAUUUAGUUUCUGUGUCUCCCCUCUGUCUGUCUGAAUUCACAUCCUACUGUGAAUUUAGGAUGUGGGUUUCACCCCCUCCAUUCCUGUUCACACCUUUCUCUCUUCUGCUAAUAAAAGAGACAAACAAACUGAAGGUUUUCAGAACGCUCUAUGAACAGCUCGGAGGAGCAAUUGAUAGAGUCUUCUCCUUUGCAAAGUUUGUCAUAAAAUUCA